rnacentral:lncRNA from 1 species
UCUCUCCCAACGGGACUUGAAACUUUCACCACUGAGACAACCCUAACAACAACUUCUCUUCACACUACUUUUAGUGAAUAUACAAAAAGUGAAACUCCUACGGCAACCUUUCUUCCAGUCCUGAGCACAGUCGAAAUUUCCACAAAGGAGGAAAGUCUGACAACUUCUUCCCAGUCUCCUUUGACAGCAUCGUCCAGUGAAAGUCCCACAAGGACGACUGUCACACAGCGAGUGGUCUCUGAGUUCACCACCAAUGAGACAACCAUGACAUUGGUUCCCCCCCAUCCAGCUGGUACUGAACUCACAAAUACGGAGACUACCAUGGCAAACACUCGUUCUCUUCCAAUGACAGAGACAUCCACACCCAAUGCGAUCAGGUCUUCCGUUCACACCCCAAUGGAAACAAACAACAGUGAGACAACCUCAGCCACAUCCUCUGCACCACCAACGCUGACCAUCUCCUCCACCCACAGCUCCUUCCUGACUUCUGUCUCUCACACAUCCCUGUCUGAAACCACCACCAAUGAAACGACUCUGGCAACAACAGUUUCUGCUCCAGCUUCAACAGAAUUUACCAACCGUGAAACAACAUUGUCAACAACACCCCCUGCGUCCGCUCCAUCUGAAACAUCCACUAGCGAGACAGCCUCAACAACAGGUAUUCGCUCUCCAGUUGUCACGACAUCUUCUACUGAGAGUACUAGAAUGACCAAUGUGUCACACACAGCAGUUCCUGAAUUCAUUACCAGUACCGCACCCCAGACGACAACUCCUCCACAUCUGACUUUUACAAAAUUCACAGGCAGUGAGACUAGCAUGGCAACUAGUUUUCCUGUACAAACUACAGCAAACUCUACCCAUGCUGAGACCACAAUAUCAACAACUCUCUCUGUACCUGUUACACGUGAAAUCUCUACACUGGAGACAAACUCCACAACGGCCACCUCCCAACCAGCUCUGACCACCCCUUCCACUCAGAGCCCUUCAGUGACAUAUCUCUCCCACUCAACUGGUUCUGAGUCCACCCUAAAGGAGACAACUUUGGCAAGAAGCACCGUAAAGACAACUGAGCAGUAUUCAACCAUUUCUGAAGUCCCCACUAAUGAAACAACACUCAGAACAAAGCUUUCCCAGCCAACAGUUACUGAAUUCACAGGGUCUUCUACACUCUCUGUGACAGCUACAGCAGAAAGCUCCACCAGUGAGACCAACUUGACAACAGUCACAUCCCAGCCAACUGUAGUGACAUCUUCCAUGGAGCGUACCACAAUGACCUCCGUAUCCCAUACAACCAUACCUGAAUCCCCCACCAGUGAGAGAACCAAGGCAAC